rnacentral:rRNA from 1 species
UAGGGAAUCUUCCACAAUGGACGCAAGUCUGAUGGAGCAACGCCGCGUGAGUGAAGAAGGUUUUCGGAUCGUAAAGCUCUGUUGUUGGUGAAGAAGGAUAGAGGCAGUAACUGGUCUUUAUUUGACGGUAAUCAACCAGAAAGUCACGGCUAACUACGUGCCAGCAGCCGCGGUAAUACGUAGGUGGCAAGCGUUGUCCGGAUUUAUUGGGCGUAAAGCGAGCGCAGGCGGAAUGAUAAGUCUGAUGUGAAAGCCCACGGCUCAACCGUGGAACUGCAUCGGAAACUGUCAUUCUUGAGUGCAGAAGAGGAGAGUGGAAUUCCAUGUGUAGCGGUGGAAUGCGUAGAUAUAUGGAAGAACACCAGUGGCGAAGGCGGCUCUCUGGUCUGCAACUGACGCGGAGGCUCGAAAGCAUGGGUAGCGAACAGG